UCUGCGUCCAGACUUGGUGCAAAUAAAUAUUUCCGCCGUGUCGCAAUGGACUCAAACAAGGACGAAGCGGAGCGUUGCAUCAAAAUAGCACUGAAUGCAGUCAGCAACAACCAGCCGGACAAAGCCAGGAAGUUUCUAGAGAAGGCCCAGCGUUUGUUUCCUACGGACCAAGCCCAAAGCUUACUGGACACGCUAGCGCAGAAUGGGAAGCCUCCGGACCAGAAUGGCGGACCUGUUAACGGAGAAAGAUCCUCCAUGAGGCACCGUCAUCACAGAGAGAACACAGAAACGUAUGCACAGGGCCCCGCAGAUUCGUCAAAACCUUACACCGCUGAGCAGAUGGAGGCGGUCAGGAAGAUUAAGGGCUGCAAAGAUUACUACCAAAUCCUGGGAGUAGAAAAGACUGCCUCUGAUGAAGAUCUCAAAAAAGCAUACCGGAAGCUGGCUUUGAAGUUCCACCCUGAUAAAAACCAUGCACCGGGAGCCACUGAUGCAUUUAAAGCCAUCGGUAACGCCUACGCUGUGCUCAGCAACGUUGAGAAGCGGCGGCAGUACGACCAGUACGGGGAGGAGAGGUCGCACCCCGGCAGACAACGACAGCAUCGUGACUUUGAAGCCGAUAUUUCACCUGAGGACCUCUUCAACAUGUUCUUUGGUGGAGGCUUCCCAUCCAGUAAUGUACAUGUUUACAGAAACGGAAGAAUGCACUUUGCGCAUCACAACAGGCAAGAAAGACGAGAGCAGCAAAGAGAUGGAGGUCUGGCUCUCUUUGUCCAGUUGAUGCCCAUCCUUAUCCUCAUCCUUGUGUCGGCGCUCAGCCAGCUAAUGGUCACGCAGCCUCCCUACAGCCUUAGCUACCGCCCGUCGGCCGGGUACAUUCACAAAAGGCACACGUCCCACCUGAAGGUGCCUUUCUACGUGGGCGAGCGCUUUAACGAUGACUUCACGGGAGCCAAUCUGAAGAAUGUGGAGAGAACGGUGGAGGAGGACUACAUCUCCAACCUCAGGAACAACUGCUGGAAAGAGAAGCAGCAGAAGGAAGGCCUAAUGUACCGUGCUCGCUAUUUCGGGGACUCUGAGUUGUACCAAAGGGCACAGAGGAUGGGGACUCCCAGCUGCAACCGGUUAUCUGAGAUUCAGGUCAUACUGGAUGGUUAGAGGCUCUUCGAACAAUUACGGGGUGUUCCAGAAAGAGCAUGAAAAUACGCAGAGGACCACGAAGAGGUUCCUAAAAGCACAGUGGCCUCCAUAAUCCGGAAAUGGAAGACGUUUGGGACAACCAGAACCCUUCGCAGAGCUGGCCGUCCGGCCAAACUGAACAAUCUGGGGAGAAGAGCCUUGGUGAAGCUCUGUGUUCUUUUGGUACUUCAACUGUUUUGGUAGACUGCGUCCGGAGCCUCACACCCCCCGAAUUAGAGUGUAUUUGUGCAGCAAACCCAAGAGAAUCAAACAGGCCUUACGCACUGUGGGCAGCAGGCCUCAUCCAGGAACCACUCUGCAGCUUCCUGUAGACCGACUUGCUGUACGACAAGCAAGAAGCUUUGGCUGUUUUCUUCUCUCUCGCGCAUCUUCAGAGUGGCGAGCGUCCAUGGAUCGUCCGUUUCGAACAGUGAAUGAAGCUGCUAAGAUUUCGAUUUUCUCUCUCCCACCCACCCCCCUUUUUUUUUUUUUGUGUGUUUUAUAAAAAAGAACCCCGGCCUUCUCAUAGACACUUCUGAGCCACUUUUUUUUUUUUUUUUAAUAUAAUAAAUAUAGUUCUUUCCAGUGUAAAUAUUGACUAGACUUUAACAGUUCAGAAUUUAUCAAAAGUAAUAUCAUUUAUUAAUAAUGUUAUUAAGUAACUUUUCUCGUAGCCCGUUGGAUCAAGAUCAUUGAGAAAUUAUUGCACAGAUGAACCUUAUUUAUUAAAUUAACAAGAUAAAAGUUGUAUAAUGGUUUUCUUUUUGAAAUAAAUUUUGUCUGGAAUCGUCA